rnacentral:rRNA from 1 species
UACGAAGGGGGCUAGCGUUGCUCGGAAUCACUGGGCGUAAAGCGCACGUAGGCGGAUUGUUAAGUCAGGGGUGAAAUCCUGGAGCUCAACUCCAGAACUGCCUUUGAUACUGGCGAUCUCGAGUCCGGGAGAGGUGAGUGGAACUCGAGUGUAGAGGUGAAAUUCGUAGAUAUUCGGAAGAACACCAGUGGCGAAGGCGGCUCACUGGCCCGGUACUGACGCUGAAGUACGAAAGCGUGGGGAGCAAACAGGG